rnacentral:rRNA from 1 species
CUCGUAGACUCCUACGGGAGGCAGCAUGGGGAAUAUUGCACAAUGGGGGAAACCCUGAUGCAGCCAUGCCGCGUGUGUGAAGAAGGCCUUCGGGUUGUAAAGCACUUUCAGUAGGGAGGAAGGUAGUGUAGUUAACACCUGCGCUAUUUGACGUUACCUACAGAAGAAGCACCGGCUAACUCCGUGCCAGCAGCCGCGGUAAUACGGAGGGUGCGAGCGUUAAUCGGAAUUACUGGGCGUAAAGCGCAUGCAGGCGGCCUGUUAAGUCAGAUGUGAAAGCCCCGGGGCUUAACCUCGGAAUUGCAUUUAGAAACUGGCAGGCUAGAGUCUUGUAGAGGGGGUAGAAUUUCAGGUGUAGCGGUGAAAUGCGUAGAGAUCUGAAGGAAUACCAGUGGCGAAGGCGGCCCCCUGGACAAAGACUGACGCUCAGAUGCGAAAGCGUGGGGAGCAAACAGGAUUAGAUACCCUGGUAG